AGUUUUUUGCAGUGGCAGUAUUGCAGCCAAUGAGGUUUAUCUGAGAGGUGAUUAUUGCUCCUUGAAAAUUGAAAAAAAAAAAAAAAAAAAAGACAUGACAUUUGCAUAAAUUGUUUUUUUUUUUUUUUUUUUUGAGAUGGAGUCUCACUUGUUGCCCAGACUGGAGUGCA
rnacentral:snRNA from 1 species